AAAUAUAUAUAUAUUUACUGUUGCUUCAUCAUUAAUAUCAAACGGACUCUUACCGUGGGAGGGGAACAGAGAUGUCCAAUUGUGGCUGGGUUGGUAUUGAAAUCGAAUCAUGUGUGGUAUAAUUUUGGUUUUAAUUGAUGUUUGGUACUUUAGUUUUUGGUUUUGUUUGAUUUUUAAUAUUUUGAUUUAGUUUGGUCUGAUUAGAUUUCAACUUUUGAAAUAAUUUUGUCAUUAUUUUCAUAGAAAAUCGUAUUUAAAUUAUCAUUUAGGUUUUAAAAUUGUU
rnacentral:misc_RNA from 1 species